rnacentral:lncRNA from 1 species
CAGGGGUGGGGGGGGACAGAGCCUGGAUCCCCAGGCGCCCAGGGUGGGCGGGGACAGAGCCAUGCUGAAGCAGGACCUGACCAGGCAGCAAGCGUCACCUCCGUCAGCGCAGCCUGACGGGUCACUAGCAAACCACGCAAGAUCAGGGCCGUGCUGUCGGCUCUCCCGGGCACCUUCACUCUAACACCAAGAGCCUUCUUCCCCCAGCAAGGGACAGUCCAGCUCCUGCCCUGGGACUGGUGGGGGUCAGCGGCAGCUCCUGCAUCCACACCCAAGUCAGGGCUCCCGGGGACGCCGUGGAAGACCCUGUUCCCACCCAGGCUCAGGCCCAGGGAGACCAAAGAGCUGGGCUCCAGGAGGGCAGAGCCAGCGUGUCCAGCCCUGGAUGGGGACCUGCGAGGACGGGCUGAUCCAGGCCAUGCUGCGGCGGGAUCUCUGUGCCGAGGGCUGUCCUGGUUAAACCCCUUCGGUGCAGCUUGACCUUCCAGUCACUCUCACAGUGGCCUCGAUGGCCCUCCCUCAGCCUGGGUGAGAGAGAACCAGAGGCACAGAGGUCACUCCCACCUCUGUGCUGGCCGAGCCGCCCGCGGAACCCAGGACCCGGGGUCUACACUCCUCCUACUCACAGGAAGUGGCUUCAGGCACACGCAGGGCCAACGGGGGGGUUGUGGGGUGGGCCGGAUGGACGUGGCGAGUCUGUCUCCUCCCCAGGGUCCGGGCCUGUCUGUGUUCCUACUGCGCUAUUCCUAGUGCUCAGCUCCCGGCACAGAGUAGGUGCUCAAGGAACGGCGGACAGAUGCAGAGUCCGUCCUCCUACCGGCCACCCCAGGUGAAGGCCACCCCAGAAGAAAGCUCGACUCCUGCCCCAAGGACACCUGCACCACAAAUGUCACCGCCCGUGACAAAAGGGACUGUGGGGACGUGGCUGGGUGAGGGAUCUUGCCCAGGUGGCCCGGUGGCCCUUAAGAGGGAGAGGAGGGCUGCAGUGGGGUUGGAAGGUCUCCCCUCGUGGAUUAGGAGAGGGAAGGGGCUUCUAGAAGUGGGAAGAGGUCUCCUGCAGCCCCCAGAAGAACCUGCCGCCGCCUUCCGUUAGCCGCGCGAGGCCCAGUCUGGAACGGUGACCCCGAGAAGCGUUGGACACAUUUCUGUUGCUUCAAGCCGCUGAGUUUGUAGCAAUUUGUAACCGGACAAUAGGAAAGAAGGUGCGAAGUUCCACGGUGGCCCUUCACCAGGCACCAUGGCCACGGCCAGCUCACAGCCCACCUCUGGCCACCUUCCCGCUGGACUAAGCUAAAGGCCCCGGCCCAGGGCAGCCCCACGUGAGGGAAUAGAGGAUCUGUUUUAGAAUCACGACGGGGGAGAACCUAAGGACCCGAGGGGACAACGCUGUCCCUAAAUAAACGAAGAAGUUUAGGAGAACAGACCG